rnacentral:rRNA from 1 species
GACGAACCGUGCGAACGUUAUUCGGAAUCACUGGGCUUAAAGCGCGUGUAGGCGGGAGGGCACGUCCGUCGCUGAAAUCCCCCGGCUCAACCGGGGAACGGGCGCGGAUACGACCUUCCUGGAGGGGCGUAGGGGGACCUGGAACUUCCGGUGGAGCGGUGAAAUGCGUUGAGAUCGGAAGGAACGCCCGUGGCGAAAGCGAGGUCCUGGACGCCUACUGACGCUGAGGAGCGAAAGCAUGGGGAGCGAACAGG